rnacentral:rRNA from 1 species
AUACGGAGGGGACAAGCGUUAUUCGGAAUCACUGGGCGUAAAGGACGCGUAGGCGGGUUAUUAAGUCGGGUGUGAAAUCCAAUGGCUCAACCAUUGAACUGCAUUCGAAACUGAUAACCUAGAGUAUGGAAGGGGCAGGUGGAAUUAGUGGUGUAGGGGUAAAAUCCGUAGACAUCACUAGGAAUACCGAAAGCGAAGGCGACCUGCUGGGACAUUACUGACGCUGAGGCGUGAAAGCGUGGGGAGCAAACAGGAUUAGAUACCCCGGUAGUCC